AUUGAACGCUGGCGGCAGGCUUAACACAUGCAAGUCGAGCGGGGGAAGGUAGCUUGCUACCGGACCUAGCGGCGGACGGGUGAGUAAUGCUUAGGAAUCUGCCUAUUAGUGGGGGACAACAACUCGAAAGGGAUGCUAAUACCGCAUACGUCCUACGGGAGAAAGCAGGGGAUCUUCGGACCAUGCGCUAAUAGAUGAGCCUAAGUCGGAUUAGCCAGUUGGUGGGGUAAAGGCCUACCAAGGCGACGAUCUGUGGCGGGUCUGAGAGGAUGAUCCGCCACACUGGGACUGAGACACGGCCCAGACUCCUACGGGAGGCAGCAGUGGGGAAUAUUGGACAAUGGGGGGAACCCUGAUCCAGCCAUGCCGCGUGUGUGAAGAAGGCCUUAUGGUUGUAAAGCACUUUAAGCGAGGAGGAGGAUACUUUAGUUAAUACCUAGAGAUAGUGGACGUUACUCGCAGAAUAAGCACCGGCUAACGCGGGGCCAGCAGCCGCGGUAAAAC
rnacentral:rRNA from 1 species